UGGCAGUCAGAGGCGAUGAAGGACGUGCUAAUCUGCGAUAAGCGUCGGUGAGGUGAUAUGAACCGUUAUAACCGGCGAUUUCCGAAUGGGGAAACCCAGUGUGUUUCGACACACUAUCAUUAACUGAAUCCAUAGGUUAAUGAGGCGAACCGGGGGAACUGAAACAUCUAAGUACCCCGAGGAAAAGAAAUCAACCGAGAUUCCCCCAGUAGCGGCGAGCGAACGGGGAGGAGCCCAGAGCCUGAAUCAGUGUGUGUGUUAGUGGAAGCGUCUGG
rnacentral:rRNA from 1 species